rnacentral:piRNA from 1 species
AAAAAAGACCCCUGAGGAGAGAGACGC